GAUGAACGCUGGCGGCGUGCCUAAUACAUGCAAGUCGAGCGAACAGACGAGGAGCUUGCUCCUUUGACGUUAGCGGCGGACGGGUGAGUAACACGUGGGUAACCUACCUAUAAGACUGGGAUAACUUCGGGAAACCGGAGCUAAUACCGGAUAAUAUUUCGAACCGCAUGGUUCGAUAGUGAAAGAUGGCUUUGCUAUCACUUAUAGAUGGACCUGCGCCGUAUUAGCUAGUUGGUAAGGUAACGGCUUACCAAGGCAACGAUGCGUAGCCGACCUGAGAGGGUGAUCGGCCACACUGGAACUGAGACACGGUCCAGACUCCUACGGGAGGCAGCAGUAGGGAAUCUUCCGCAAAGGGCGAAAGCCUGACGGAGCAACGCCGCGUGAGUGAUGAAGGUCUUCGGAUCGUAAAACUCUGUUAUUAGGGAAGAAUAAACGUGUAAGUAACUGUGCACGUCUUGACGGUACCUAAUCAGAAAGCCACGGCUAACUACGUG
rnacentral:rRNA from 1 species